UUCUGAUUUUUCAUUAAGGACGAAAAAUUCCAGUUUUUGCGGAAUAGUCCCCCCUCCGGUUCUCUCUCUCUCUCUCUCGCUCGAAACCCUCCCCAGGCCCGUCCACCCUCCGACCCGACCCGGCCGAACACGGCCCCUCCGGCCUUCUCCGGCCCCUGACCCGGACUCCCCUGGGAUCGCCGCCCCACGACGAGCCUCCCUCUGGUGUCGCCUUGCCUCGCCGCUGCUCCGAAAGCUGGAUCGAAGCCCCUCCGAACCUAAGUUUCGACCCGAUCGGAUCUUGGUCGUGCCGGCGUUGCAUGGGCCGAUCCUCUCGGUUUUGGGUUGUUCUCCUCCCCCUGAUCAUCCCCAUAUCCAAUCUGAUCAGAUCAGACGCACCAGAUUAAUCUGAACUUCAAAGCUUGAUCUAGGACGAUCUAGGCCGAACCGGACUUAGCUCCAGGUACUUGACGGUUUGAGUUGACGAGCGUUUGGAAUAUCAUUAUAUUUGAGUUUUUAGAAGACGC